CCAACAAAUGCUCCACAAACAAAGUCUCCACCACCAAUACAACAGGUCAAUGUAACAAAUGUUGCCACAACUCCCACCCCAACAACAAGCAAAAGAUCCACCACAACAACUCAGAGUUCUACAAAAAUUGUCACCACUCUUCGUCCUUUUAAAACUACAUCUUUUCACACAACAAGACGAGUGACAGAAAUGAGUGCGAAAAGAACCACUCCUUCAGGUGCUGCCACCUCUUUCAGUGCUCUUACAAUAUUCAUGAGAUCAGCAAAGAACUUUAUGUUGUCUUAUCUGAUAAAAUGGAGACUGGCAAGCCCACAGAAGAAAUACAUAUAUAAUCUUGGCCAUGCUGAUUACAAAGCUAUUAACGACUGGCUAACUAACAAAGCCAAAAAGAAGAGUUAAGGAAGAAAAUUCUUUUGCACAGACUCUAUCUAGUUUCACUAGGGCUCUCAUGAGAAGUGGAUAACAUUUUCACCGUAACCACUCUCCUUUCUGCAAAUGGAAUUUUCUUAUUGGCCUUGGCAUUUGAAUGAAGUUAAGAAUGAUGUCAGCCUCAGAAUCUUCCUCUGAAGCCAGCUAAACCUCCUGAAAACACUAGCAAUUUACAGGCUCUUAGACUAUUUCCAUUUUUUUUCUAAGUGUGCAGCAGAGGACUGAAUCUUAUCAUAGAACAGAAAAGAAAGAAAAAAAAAACCACUUAACCAAAAUCCAUUCAAUAUCAAUUGGCUUUCACUAGUCAGUUGAUACUAUUUUAAUUCUCUUUAAGUCCCAAACACUUGCUCCUUCACUCUAGCUGCAUGCCAUUUCCUCAAGCUCCCCUUUUUGUCUUUAUAACGUUUAUCAAAAGAAGAAAUCUUCCAUUUAAAAAGGACUAUAAUUAGGCAUUAAGAGUAAUUUUUUUUAAAAAUCAGGAUGACAUUUUUUCAAAUCUUGCUCCAAGCUGCCAGAAAUAGAGGAACUGAAUUGUCAAAUCUUCCUUUCUAUCAAUCACCUUUGAAAGAAGAAAUCCCUGAUGAAGAAAAAUGAGCUGUCCUUGGGACCUGAUAAUGAUGUUAACAUAAAAAACAAUGGGAAGGUGUGAUGACCCAUGACUUCUUGAUGUUUUGAGCUCCAUCAGGAUUUUAGAAACAGGGAAUUGCAUAGUUCCCUUUUUUCCUUUUUGGUAGACUACAUCAGUAGGCACUUUUGUCCAUAAUAUAUCUGGGGUGCGGGGUGGGGAAGAGGGCGGGGAGACUAUGAAAAGGACUAUUCUGAUGUUAGUGCCUAAGUUAAACCAGUUUUAUUUUUACAUCCAGAGACUGUAUAAAGGUGAAUUUUCUAAAGAAAGAAAAAGGUUCUGUACUUUUGAAAUAAUGAAUUCAUAGCCAAAUUGUAUAUUUUGUUGUCUUGUAAUUUAAAAUUAAUUUAUUUAUUUACUUCAGUGAGUGUAAGUUUUACAUAUGUACUGUGAAAAUUCACAUGUUCAGGAUUUAUAAAGAGAAUCUUAUUUUCCUGAAAUAAAAAUAAGCAAACAAAUUCUAUGGUGAUCUUG
rnacentral:lncRNA from 1 species